rnacentral:rRNA from 1 species
UACGAAGGUCCCGAGCGUUGUUCGGAAUCACUGGGCGUAAAGGGCGCGUAGGCGGCUUGGUAAGUCCGAUGUGAAAUCCCGGGGCUCAACCCCGGAACUGCAUCCGAUACUGCCAUGCUAGAGGAUUGGAGAGGUAGCUGGAAUUCUUGGUGUAGCAGUGAAAUGCGUGGAGAUCAAGAGGAACACUCGUGGCGAAAGCGAGCUACUGGACAAUAUCUGACGCUGAGACGCGAAAGCGUGGGGAGCGAACCGG